AUACUUACCUGGCAGGGGAGAUACCAUGAUCAUGAAGGUGGUUUCCCCAGGACAAGGCUUAUCCAUUGUAUUCUGGAUGUGCUGCAAUUUCCCCAAAUGUGGGAAACUCGACUGCAUAAUUUGUGGUAGUGGGGGACUGUGUUUGCGCUCUCCCCUG